rnacentral:rRNA from 1 species
GCAGUCGAGGGGCAGCACAGGGUAGCAAUACUGGGUGGCGACCGGCAAACGGGUGCGGAACACGUACGUAACCUUCCUUUAAGUGGGAGAUAGCCCGAAGAAAUUCGGAUUAAUACCCCAUAAGAUUGUGGAGUGGCAUCACUCAGCAAUUAAAGAAAUUCGCUUAAAGAUGGGCGUGCGGCUGAUUAGGUAGUUGGUGAGGUAACGGCUCACCAAGCCAACGAUCAGUAACUGGCGUGAGAGCGCGACCAGUCACACGGGCACUGAGACACGGGCCCGACUCCUACGGGAGGCAGCAGUAAGGAAUAUUGGUCAAUGGACGCAAGUCUGAACCAGCCAUGCCGCGUGAAGGAUGAAGGUCCUCUGGAUUGUAAACUUCUUUUAUAUGGGAAGAAACCACUUUUUUCUAAAGGUGUUGACGGUACCAUAGGAAUAAGCACCGGCUAACUCCGUGCCAGCAGCCGCGGUAAUACGGAGGGUGCAAGCGUUAUCCGGAUUCACUGGGUUUAAAGGGUGCGUAGGCGGAUUAGUAAGUCCGUGGUGAAAUCUCCGAGCUUAACUCGGAAACUGCCGUGGAUACUAUUAAUCUUGAAUACUGUGGAGGUUAGCGGAAUAUGUCAUGUAGCGGUGAAAUGCAUAGAUAUGACAUAGAACACCAAUUGCGAAGGCAGCUGGCUACACAGAGAUUGACGCUGAGGCACGAAAGCGUGGGGAUCAAACAGGAUUAGAUACCCUGGUAGUCCACGCCCUAAACGAUGAUUACUCGACAUUUUGCGAUAUACAGUAAGUGUCUGAGCGAAAGCAUUUAAGUAAUCCACCUGGGAAGUACGACCGCCAGGUUGAAACUCAAAGGAAUUG